GUGCUUGCUUUUGGCAGCGCAUAUACUAAAUUCAAACAAUACAGAGAAGAUUACCAUAGCCUCUGUCUUUGCAAGGAUAGCACACAAAUUCAUGAAGUCUUCCAUGUUUUU